rnacentral:rRNA from 1 species
GAUGAACGCUGGCGGCGUGCCUAAUACAUGCAAGUAGAACGCUGAAGGAGGAGCUUGCUCUUCUGGAUGAGUUGCGAACGGGUGAGUAACGCGUAGGUAACCUGCCUGGUAGCGGGGGAUAACUAUUGGAAACGAUAGCUAAUACCGCAUGACAACCGUUAUUGCAUGAUAACUGUUUAAAAGGGGCAACUGCUCCACUACCAGAUGGCCCUGCGUUGUAUUAGCUAGUUGGUGAGGUAACGGCUCACCAAGGCGACGCUACAUAGCGGACCUGAGAGGGGGUGAUGCGACACUGUGACUGUGACACGGCCCAGAGUCCUCCAGGAGGCAGCGGUAGGGGAUCUUCUGCAAUGGGCGGAAGUCUGACCGAGCGACACCGCGUGAGUGUAGAAGGUUCUCGGAUCGUGAAGCUCUGUUGUGAGGGGAGAGCGAGUGAGAGAGUGGAAAGUUCACUCUGUGACGGUAACUUACCAGAAAGGGACGGCUAACUACGUG